rnacentral:lncRNA from 1 species
CCUGGAUCUAAACGGAAGACCUUCCAACCUCCCCCACUGCGGAGAGCAGAACUGGGAGCAGAUGCCCGUGGGCUUCGCAGCUCUUGGUCCAAAACAAAAGCUAAGUCAGAAAAGGAGGAAAAAAUGCCAGAUGCCGGGAGAACAUGCCAGCUUCUGGAGUGAGAUGCGGAGAUUGGGGGAUUAGCAGGAAGAAGAAAGAGCCACUGAAACCACCCAGUUAUCCCUGCAUUUAUUUAUCCAAAGACCAUCACUGAAGGUCUUCUACUUCCAAGCCCCACCUGGGCUUCCAGCCUAAUAGGAGAAACAAACCUUAAACAAACAAUGGUGCAUAAAUCAUGAUUUCAUUACAAUUGUGAUGAGUGAGGCAACAUACGGUACAGAGGACUUAAGAAUAUUUUAACAGGAAAAUCACCAUAGCCCAGGGCUGGAGGUUGGGAACUGGGGAACUGGGGAUAAGAAUCCAGA